rnacentral:rRNA from 1 species
AGGAUGGACUCGCGUCCGAUUAGCUAGUUGGUGAGGUAAUGGCUCACCAAGGCGACGAUCGGUAGCCGAACUGAGAGGUUGAUCGGCCGCAUUGGGACUGAGACACGGCCCAGACUCCUACGGGAGGCAGCAGUGGGGGAUAUUGCACAAUGGAGGAAACUCUGAUGCAGCAACGCCGCGUGAGGGAAGAAGGUCUUCGGAUUGUAAACCUUAGUAGUCAGGGAAGAAAGAAAUGACGGUACCUGAAAAGUAAGCUCCGGCUAACUACGUGCCAGCAGCCGCGGUAAUACGUAGGGAGCAAGCGUUGUCCGGAUUUACUGGGUGUAAAGGGUGCGUAGGCGGGACUGCAAGUCAGGCGUGAAAUACCGAGGCUUAACCUCGGGGCUGCGUUUGAAACUGUAGUUCUUGAGUGAAGUAGAGGCAGGCGGAAUUCCUAGUGUAGCGGUGAAAUGCGUAGAUAUUAGGAGGAACACCAGUGGCGAAGGCGGCCUGCUGGGCUUUAACUGACGCUGAGGCACGAAAGCAUGGGGAGCAAACAGGAUUAGAUACCCUGGUAGUCCAUGCCGUAAACGAUGAUAGCUAGGUGUGGGGGGACUGACCCCUUCCGUGCCGGAGUAAACACAAU